rnacentral:tRNA from 1 species
GCCCGGGUGGCUCAGUUGGUUGAGCAUCUGACUUCGGCUCAGGUCAUGAUCUCGCACUUUGUGAGUCUGAGUCCCACAUGGGGCU